rnacentral:rRNA from 1 species
UACGUAGGGUGCAAGCGUUAUCCGGAAUUAUUGGGCGUAAAGAGCUCGUAGGCGGUUUGUCGCGUCUGCUGUGAAAACUGGGGGCUCAACCCCGGACUUGCAGUGGGUACGGGCAGACUGGAGUGUGGUAGGGGAGACUGGAAUUCCGGGUGUAGCGGUGGAAUGCGUAGAGAUCCGGAAGAACACCGGUGGCGAAGGCGGCCUGCUGGGCAGUUUUGCUGACACUGAGGCGCGACAGCGUGGGGAGCAAACAGG